UGUGCUAGCUGAAAUGUAAUAUUGCUACUCUUGCAUUGCGCAUGUCAACGCAACUAUUACGCAACAAUACGCACUAUGAUAGCCACUCUUAAAAUAUUCAUAUAAAUAAAAUAUUUGGAUAAUAUACAAUAGUGAUUAUGUACCGUGGUGGCAUUCAGUACAAAUAAUAAAGUUAAAACAGCACAAUGAAAUAUAAAAGGAAUAAAUCAAUUUUAUUUUUUAGAUCAUGCUCAUUGUGCCUCCUCAGACCCCACUUCCAAUAGAAAAUAUAAAGGAGAUAUCUAUGUAUCCAUUUUAUGCUAUAAUCAUGUAGGAUAUUAUUGUUUUAGGUUUGUUCCACAUCUGCAGAAUAAAUUGCAACAGUAGAAGUGCAACACAGGAAAGAGUUACAUGCUAUUCAGAUGGACAAUGAGCUCCAGUGAAAUAAAAAAAUAAAAUUGAGAUAUAUUAAUAAAAGAAAAAUAUAAAUUUUAUAAAAACAAAUGA